GGGUUGUGAGGUUAAGCGACUAAGCGUACACGGUGGAUGCCCUGGCAGUCAGAGGCGAUGAAGGACGUGCUAAUCUGCGAUAAGCGUCGGUAAGGUGAUAUGAACCGUUAUAACCGGCGAUUUCCGAAUGGGGAAACCCAGUGUGUUUCGACACACUAUCAUUAACUGAAUCCAUAGGUUAAUGAGGCGAACCGGGGGAACUGAAACAUCUAAGUACCCCGAGGAAAAGAAAUCAACCGAGAUUCCCCCAGUAGCGGCGAGCGAACGGGGAGGAGCCCAGAGCCUGAAUCAGUGUGUGUGUUAGUGGAAGCGUCUGGAAAGGCGCGCGAUACAGGGUGACAGCCCCGUACACAAAAAUGCACAUGCUGUGAGCUCGAUGAGUAGGGCGGGACACGUGGUAUCCUGUCUGAAUAUGGGGGGACCAUCCUCCAAGGCUAAAUACUCCUGACUGACCGAUAGUGAACCAGUACCGUGAGGGAAAGGCGAAAAGAACCCCGGCGAGGGGAGUGAAAAAGAACCUGAAACCGUGUACGUACAAGCAGUGGGAGCACGCUUAGGCGUGUGACUGCGUACCUUUUGUAUAAUGGGUCAGCGACUUAUAUUCUGUAGCAAGGUUAACCGAAUAGGGGAGCCGAAGGGAAACCGAGUCUUAACUGGGCGUUAAGUUGCAGGGUAUAGACCCGAAACCCGGUGAUCUAGCCAUGGGCAGGUUGAAGGUUGGGUAACACUAACUGGAGGACCGAACCGACUAAUGUUGAAAAAUUAGCGGAUGACUUGUGGCUGGGGGUGAAAGGCCAAUCAAACCGGGAGAUAGCUGGUUCUCCCCGAAAGCUAUUUAGGUAGCGCCUCGUGAAUUCAUCUCCGGGGGUAGAGCACUGUUUCGGCAAGGGGGUCAUCCCGACUUACCAACCCGAUGCAAACUGCGAAUACCGGAGAAUGUUAUCACGGGAGACACACGGCGGGUGCUAACGUCCGUCGUGAAGAGGGAAACAACCCAGACCGCCAGCUAAGGUCCCAAAGUCAUGGUUAAGUGGGAAACGAUGUGGGAAGGCCCAGACAGCCAGGAUGUUGGCUUAGAAGCAGCCAUCAUUUAAAGAAAGCGUAAUAGCUCACUGGUCGAGUCGGCCUGCGCGGAAGAUGUAACGGGGCUAAACCAUGCACCGAAGCUGCGGCAGCGACACUGUGUGUUGUUGGGUAGGGGAGCGUUCUGUAAGCCUGUGAAGGUGUACUGUGAGGUAUGCUGGAGGUAUCAGAAGUGCGAAUGCUGACAUAAGUAACGAUAAAGCGGGUGAAAAGCCCGCUCGCCGGAAGACCAAGGGUUCCUGUCCAACGUUAAUCGGGGCAGGGUGAGUCGACCCCUAAGGCGAGGCCGAAAGGCGUAGUCGAUGGGAAACAGGUUAAUAUUCCUGUACUUGGUGUUACUGCGAAGGGGGGACGGAGAAGGCUAUGUUGGCCGGGCGACGGUUGUCCCGGUUUAAGCGUGUAGGCUGGUUUUCCAGGCAAAUCCGGAAAAUCAAGGCUGAGGCGUGAUGACGAGGCACUACGGUGCUGAAGCAACAAAUGCCCUGCUUCCAGGAAAAGCCUCUAAGCAUCAGGUAACAUCAAAUCGUACCCCAAACCGACACAGGUGGUCAGGUAGAGAAUACCAAGGCGCUUGAGAGAACUCGGGUGAAGGAACUAGGCAAAAUGGUGCCGUAACUUCGGGAGAAGGCACGCUGAUAUGUAGGUGAAGUCCCUCGCGGAUGGAGCUGAAAUCAGUCGAAGAUACCAGCUGGCUGCAACUGUUUAUUAAAAACACAGCACUGUGCAAACACGAAAGUGGACGUAUACGGUGUGACGCCUGCCCGGUGCCGGAAGGUUAAUUGAUGGGGUUAGCGCAAGCGAAGCUCUUGAUCGAAGCCCCGGUAAACGGCGGCCGUAACUAUAACGGUCCUAAGGUAGCGAAAUUCCUUGUCGGGUAAGUUCCGACCUGCACGAAUGGCGUAAUGAUGGCCAGGCUGUCUCCACCCGAGACUCAGUGAAAUUGAACUCGCUGUGAAGAUGCAGUGUACCCGCGGCAAGACGGAAAGACCCCGUGAACCUUUACUAUAGCUUGACACUGAACAUUGAGCCUUGAUGUGUAGGAUAGGUGGGAGGCUUAGAAGUGUGGACGCCAGUCUGCAUGGAGCCGACCUUGAAAUACCACCCUUUAAUGUUUGAUGUUCUAACGUUGACCCGUAAUCCGGGUUGCGGACAGUGUCUGGUGGGUAGUUUGACUGGGGCGGUCUCCUCCUAAAGAGUAACGGAGGAGCACGAAGGUUGGCUAAUCCUGGUCGGACAUCAGGAGGUUAGUGCAAUGGCAUAAGCCAGCUUGACUGCGAGCGUGACGGCGCGAGCAGGUGCGAAAGCAGGUCAUAGUGAUCCGGUGGUUCUGAAUGGAAGGGCCAUCGCUCAACGGAUAAAAGGUACUCCGGGGAUAACAGGCUGAUACCGCCCAAGAGUUCAUAUCGACGGCGGUGUUUGGCACCUCGAUGUCGGCUCAUCACAUCCUGGGGCUGAAGUAGGUCCCAAGGGUAUGGCUGUUCGCCAUUUAAAGUGGUACGCGAGCUGGGUUUAGAACGUCGUGAGACAGUUCGGUCCCUAUCUGCCGUGGGCGCUGGAGAACUGAGGGGGGCUGCUCCUAGUACGAGAGGACCGGAGUGGACGCAUCACUGGUGUUCGGGUUGUCAUGCCAAUGGCACUGCCCGGUAGCUAAAUGCGGAAGAGAUAAGUGCUGAAAGCAUCUAAGCACGAAACUUGCCCCGAGAUGAGUUCUCCCUGACUCCUUGAGAGUCCUGAAGGAACGUUGAAGACGACGACGUUGAUAGGCCGGGUGUGUAAGCGCAGCGAUGCGUUGAGCUAACCGGUACUAAUGAACCGUGAGGCUUAACCUUACAACGCCGAAG
rnacentral:rRNA from 1 species